AUUGAACGCUGGCGGCAUGCCUUACACAUGCAAGUCGAACGGUAACGGGCCUUCGGGUGCCGACGAGUGGCGAACGGGUGAGUAAUGUAUCGGAACGUACCUUUCAGUGGGGGAUAACGUAGCGAAAGUUACGCUAAUACCGCAUCUUCUGUGAGCAGGAAAGCAGGGGAUCGCAAGACCUUGCGCUGAUUGAGCGGCCGAUAUCAGAUUAGCUAGUUGGUGAGGUAAAGGCUCACCAAGGCGACGAUCUGUAGCGGGUCUGAGAGGAUGAUCCGCCACACUGGAACUGAGACACGGUCCAGACUCCUACGGGAGGCAGCAGUGGGGAAUUUUGGACAAUGGGGGCAACCCUGAUCCAGCCAUGCCGCGUGAGUGAAGAAGGCCUUCGGGUAGUAAAGCUCUUUCGGCCGGGAAGAAAUCGUAUCAGCUAAUACCUGGUGCGGAUGACGGUACCGGCAUAAGAAGCACCGGCUAACUACGUGCCAGCCGCCGCAGUAAAAC
rnacentral:rRNA from 1 species